rnacentral:rRNA from 1 species
UACGUAGGUGGCAAGCGUUGUCCGGAAUUAUUGGGCGUAAAGCGCGCGCAGGCGGUCCUUUAAGUCUGAUGUGAAAGCCCACGGCUCAACCGUGGAGGGUCAUUGGAAACUGGGGGACUUGAGUGCAGGAGAGAAGAGUGGAAUUCCACGUGUAGCGGUGAAAUGCAUAGAGAUGUGGAGGAACACCAGUGGCGAAGGCGACUCUUUGGCCUGUAACUGACGCUGAGGCGCGAAAGCAUGGGGAGCGAACAGG